AUUGAUAUCAUGUUUCUCGUCCCCGCCCGCAUGGGAUUUAUCUGCCGCACGAAAAUUUUUCAUUAUUCAUUAUUUUUGAAAAAUACGCUUAACAAAACACAAAAUUGAUCUCCAGAUCAAAGUCUUAUUGCUGCAUUCCGCAGACGCAACUCAAAUUGUAUCUUUCUAAAGAUAUUACUCGCCAGAAUGCCUCUAUUUUUCAUGUCAGCCCUGGUAUUUAUAAAUUAAAAUGAAUUAUACACCAAUUUACUACAGAUUUUUA